GACGAACGCUGGCGGCGUGCUUAGCACAUGCAAGUCGAACGGAAAGGCCUGUCCUUCCUUGUGUUGGACGGGUACUCGAGUGGCGAACGGGUGAGUAACACGUGAGUGAUCUGCCCCCAACUUGGGUAUAAGCCUGGGAAACUGGGUCUAAUUCCCGAUAGGACUGCAGGGUGGUGCCUGUGGUGGAAAACGAUUUUCUAGUGGUUGGGGAUGAGCUCGCGGCCUAUCAGCUUGUUGGUGGGGUAAUGGCCUACCAAGGCGGCGACGGGUAGCCGGCCUGAGAGGGUGGACGGCCACAUUGGGACUGAGAUACGGCCCAGACUCCUACGGGAGGCAGCAGUGGGGAAUAUUGCACAAUGGGCGGAAGCCUGAUGCAGCGACGCCGCGUGGGGGAUGACGGCCUUCGGGUUGUAAACUCCUUUCGACCGCGAGGAAGCCGCCUGGUUGGAAGGGUGGUGACGGUAGUGGUAGAAGAAGCACCGGCUAACUACGUG
rnacentral:rRNA from 1 species